AUUGAACGCUGGCGGAAUGCUUUACACAUGCAAGUCGAACGGUAGAGGGGGCAACCCCUCGAGAGUGGCGAACGGGAGAGUAAUAUAUCGGAACGUGCCCAGUCGUGGGGGAUAACGUAGCGAAAGUUACGCUAAUACCGCAUACGAUCUAAGGAUGAAAGCGGGGGAUCGCAAGACCUCGCGCGAUUGGAGCGGCCGAUAUCAGAUUGGGUAGUUGGUGGGGUAAAGGCUCACCAAGCCAACGAUCUGUAGCUGGUCUGAGAGGACGACCAGCUCCACUGGAACUGAGACACGGUCCAGACUCCUACGGGAGGCAGCAUUGGGGAAUUUUGGACAAUGGACGCAAGUCUGAUCCAGCCAUUCCGCGUGCAGGAUGAAGGCCCUCGGGUUGUAAACUGCUUUUGUACAGAACGAAAAGGCUCUGGUUAAUACCUAGGGCUCAUGACGGUACUGUAAGAAUAAGCACCGGCUAACUACGUGCCAGCCGCCGCCGUAA
rnacentral:rRNA from 1 species